rnacentral:rRNA from 1 species
AUCGAACGCUGGCGGCAGGCUUAACACAUGCAAGUCGAGCGAGAGGCGGACGGGUGAGUAAUGUCUGGGAAACUGGCUGAUGGAGGGGGAUAAGUACUGGAAACGGUAGCUAAUACCGCUUACCACGAGAUGUGCCCAGAUGGGAUUAGCUAGUAGGUGGGGUAUUGGCUCACCGAGGCGACGAUCCCUAGCUGGUCUGAGAGGGUGACCAGCCACACUGGAACUGAGACACGGCCCAGACUCCUACGGGAGGCAGCAGUGGGGAAUAUUGGACAAUGGGCGCAAGCCUGAUGCAGCCAUGCCGCGUGUGUGAAGAAGGCCUUCGGGUUGUAAAGCACUUUCAGCGAAGAGGCGUUACUCGCAGAAGAAGCACCGGCUAACUCCGUGCCAGCAGCCGCGGUAAUUC